rnacentral:rRNA from 1 species
GAUUAAGUUAUUAAGGGCGCACGGUGGAUGCCUUGGCACUAGAAGCCGAUGAAGGACGUUACUAACGACGAUAUGCUUUGGGUAGCUGUAAGUAAGCGUUGAUCCAGAGAUUUCCGAAUGGGGGAACCCAGCAUGAGUUAUGUCAUGUUAUCGACAUGUGAAUUCAUAGCAUGUCAGAAGGCAGACCCGGAGAACUGAAACAUCUUAGUACCCGGAGGAAGAGAAAGAAAAAUCGAUUCCCUGAGUAGCGGCGAGCGAAACGGGAAGAGCCCAAACCAACAAGCUUGCUUGUUGGGGUUGUAGGACACUCUAUACGGAGUUACAAAAGAACAUGUUAGACGAAUCAUCUGGAAAGAUGAAUCAAAGAAGGUAAUAAUCCUGUAGUCGAAAACAUAUUCUCUCUUGAGUG